AUUGAACGCUGGCGGCAGGCUUAACACAUGCAAGUCGAGCGGGGACUUCGGUCCUAGCGGCGAACGGGUGAGGAAUGCUUGGGAAUCUGCCUUGUAGUGGGGGAUAACGUUUCGAAAGGAACGCUAAUACCGCAUACGCCCUACGGGGGAAAGGGGGGGAUCUUCGGACCUCUCGCUAUAAGAUGAGCCCAAGUCGGAUUAGCUAGUUGGUGGGGUAAAGGCUCACCAAGGCGACGAUCCGUAGCUGGUCUGAGAGGAUGAUCAGCCACACUGGAACGGAGACACGGUCCAGACUCCGACGGGAGGCAGCAGUGGGGAAUAUUGGACAAUGGGCGAAAGCCUGAUCCAGCCAUGCCGCGUGCGUGAAGAAGGCCUUCGGGUUGUAAAGCACUUUAAGCGAGGAGGAAUGGCUCUGGGUUAAUACCCUUGAGCAGUGACGUUACUCGCAGAAUAAGCACCGGCUAACUCUGUGCCAGCAAGCCGCCGUAACAC
rnacentral:rRNA from 1 species